AUAAAAAUAUAGGUCACCGAUGAGUUAAAAAAGAUAUUUCAAUUUUUAUGCCAAAAAAUGGCAUUUUUGCACCAAAGGGAGAUAAUUUGAAGCUUUUUCAAUGAUAUCUACAUUUUAAAAGUCCGCUGGGGCCAACACGAAUUGAUUUUUUGGAAUGAUUUUUGUACCAUAUGAUAAAGAAAGCUACUCAAGAUAAUCAAUAAAAUUUGUAAUGAAAAAUUAAUGUUUAUUUUUUUCUGAAAAUCUUAUACCCGCGAGCCUCCUUAAG
rnacentral:lncRNA from 1 species